AGUAGCGGCGAGUGAAGCGGCAAAAGCUCAAAUUUGAAAUCUGGCUCUUUCAGAGUCCGAGUUGUAAUUUGAAGAAGGUAUCUUUGGGUCUGGCUCUUGUCUAUGUUUCUUGGAACAGAACGUCACAGAGGGUGAGAAUCCCGUGCGAUGAGAUGAUCCAGGCCUAUGUAAAGUUCCUUCGAAGAGUCGAGUUGUUUGGGAAUGCAGCUCUAAGUGGGUGGUAAAUUCCAUCUAAAGCUAAAUAUUGGCGAGAGACCGAUAGCGAACAAGUACAGUGAUGGAAAGAUGAAAAGAACUUUGAAAAGAGAGUGAAAAAGUACGUGAAAUUGUUGAAAGGGAAGGGCUUGAGAUCAGACUUGGUAUUUUGUAUGUUACUUCUUCGGGGGUGGCCUCUACAGUUUAUCGGGCCAGCAUCAGUUUGGGCGGUAGGAGAAUUGCGUUGGAAUGUGGCACGGCUUCGGUUGUGUGUUAUAGCCUUCGUCGAUACUGCCAGCCUAGACUGAGGACUGCGGUUUAUACCUAGGAUGUUGGCAUAAUGAUCUUAAGUCGCCCGUCUUGAAACACGGACCAAGGAGUCUAACGUCUAUGCGAGUGUUUGGGUGUAAAACCCGUACGCGUAAUGAAAGUGAACGUAGGUGGGGGCCCGUAUGGGUGCACCAUCGACCGAUCCUGAUGUCUUCGGAUGGAUUUGAGUAAGAGCAUAGCUGUUGGGACCCGAAAGAUGGUGAACUAUGCCUGAAUAGGGUGAAGCCAGAGGAAACUCUGGUGGAGGCUCGUAGCGGUUCUGACGUGCAAAUCGAUCGUCGAAUUUGGGUAUAG
rnacentral:rRNA from 1 species